rnacentral:rRNA from 1 species
CAACGGCAUAGCUGGGUAGCUAUGUGUGGACGGGAUAAGUGCUGAAAGCAUCUAAGCAUGAAGCCCCCCUCAAGAUGAGAUUUCCCAACUUCGGUUAUAAGAUCCCUCAAAGAUGAUGAGGUUAAUAGGUUCGAGGUGGAAGCAUGGUGACAUGUGGAGCUGACGAAUACUAAUCGAUCGAAGACUUAAUCAAAA